ensembl:lncRNA
CCUGUUCUCUCAAGCACGCCGACUCCUCCCGCAGUGCGGCGGCGGCCACAGCUAGCUGCUCACUACGCUCCCGACACUGGGACUGCAUCUUAACUGCGUCGGUUAAGAGGGACUCGACGCUCACUGCUACGGAGUCACACUGGUCCUUUGACAUGGUGGUGAUGGUGAUGGGUGGUCUAUAUAGGUGGAGAGAGGGACGGAUGGGAGGGAUUUAGAGACUGGUCCUUUGACAUGGUGGUGAUGGGUGGUCUAUAUAGGUGGAGAGAGGGACGGAUGGGAGGGAUUUAGAGACUGGUCCUUUGACAUGGUGGUGAUGGGUGGUCUAUAUAGGUGGAGAGAGGGACGGAUGGGAGGGAUUUAGAGACUGGUCCUUUGACAUGGUGGUGAUGGUGAUGGGUGGUCUAUAUAGGUGGAGAGAGGGACGGAUGGGAGGGAUUUAGAGACUGGUCCUUUGACAUGGUGGUGAUGGUGAUGGGUGGUCUAUAUAGGUGGAGAGAGGGACGGAUGGGAGGGAUUUAGAGACUGGUCCUUUGACAUGGUGGUGAUGGUGAUGGGUGG